CUGUCCUCUCUGGGCAGCCAGGUUUGUCUGUGACGACCGGUCUCUAUAGCCAGCCUGUCCUCUCUGGGCAGCCAGACUGUCCUCUCUGGGCAGCCAGGUUGGUCUGUGACGACCGGUCUCUAUAGCCAGACUGUCCUCUCUGGGCAGCCAGACUGUCCUCUCUGGGCAGCCAGACUGUCCUCUCUGGGCAGCCAGGUUUGUCUGUGACGACCGGUCUCUAUAGCCAGACUGUCCUCUCUGAGUCUGUACCUAGUCAGUGUUUUCCUCAGUUUUCUAUCAGUCACAGUGGUCAGAUAAUCUGCCACCAUGUACUGUCUGUUUAGAGACAAAUAGCA
rnacentral:lncRNA from 1 species